rnacentral:lncRNA from 1 species
UGUAUGGCUGGACAGGCUGUUAUAUAUUUUCCAGUGUACCAUCCAGCCCUGUGUCCCAGAUGAAGGACCUGACUCCCGUGUAAGCUCUUCCAAGUGACUCAGCCAGCACUCCUUCACCAAAGAGCAACCAGAAAAAGCAUGAGCAUGCUUCUCUCCGGCCUUGUGUUACAGAAAGUAAGCCACCUAAAUGAUCUACCCAUUUUUGAUAACUUCAUAUCAGACAAGCGAAGACAUCAAGGAGGAACAAGAAGAGAAAAGAGAGAUGCUGAGGCCAAGUGCAGUCAGCUCUGUGAGAUUGUUUCAAUCUGGAAGAGGUAAGCUUCACAACACUAGGCAAGACCGAUGUGCAUACAGAUGGACCCGGAGGGAAGAAGAAAGCCAGAGACCAACACUGCAUGGGCAAGGCUCUAUGGCUUGCUAAUUCCCCUCAUAUUUACAGACAUUGAUCUAAAUGGUA